AUUGAACGCUGGCGGCAGGCCUAACACAUGCAAGUCGAACGAGUGGCGGACGGGUGAGUAAUGUCUGGGAAACUGCCUGAUGGCGGGGGAUCACUACUGGAAACGGUAGCUACUACCGCAUACCAUCGGAUGUGCCCUGAUGGGAUUAGCUAGUAGGUGGGGUAACGGCUAACCUAGGCGACGAUCCCUAGCUGGUCUGAGAGGAUGACCAGCCACCCUGGAACUGAGACACGGUCCAGACGCCUACGUGAGGCAGCAGUGGGGAAUAUUGGACAAUGGGCGCAAGCCUGAUGCAGCCAUGCCGCGUGUAUGAAGAAGGCCUUCGGGUUGUAAAGUACUUUCAGCGGGGAGGCGUUACCCGCAGAAAAAGCACCGGCUAACUCCGUGACAGCAGCCGCGGUAAUAC
rnacentral:rRNA from 1 species